GAUGAACGCUGGCGGCGUGCCUAAUACAUGCAAGUCGAGCGAAUGGAUUAAGAGCUUGCUCUUAUGAAGUUAGCGGCGGACGGGUGGGUAACACGUGGGUAACCUGCCCAUAAGACUGGGAUAACUCCGGGAAACCGGGGCUAAUACCGGAUAAUAUUUUGAACUGCAUGGUUCAAAAUUGAAAGGCGGCUUCGGCUGUCACUUAUGGAUGGACCCGGGUCGCAUUAGCUAGUUGGUGAGGUAACGGCUCACCAAGGCAACGAUGACGUAGCCGACCUGAGAGGGUGAUCGGCCACACUGGGGCUGAGACACGGCCCAGACUCCUACGGGAGGCAGCAGUAGGGAAUCUUCCGCAAUGGACGAAAGUCUGACGGAGCAACGCCGCGUGUGUGAUGAAGGCUUUCGGGUCGUAAAACUCUGUUGUUAGGGAAGAACAAGUGCUAGUUGAAUAAGCUGGCACCUUGACGGUACCUAACCAGAAAGCCACGGCUAACUACGUGCCAGCAGCCGCGGUAA
rnacentral:rRNA from 1 species